CAAAUAUCAGUGGGCAGGUCUCAGGGACUGUACGAUCAUGAUCAUCACCUCCCAAGACGCCAGUUCCUGCCUCAAGAUGUCUCUGAAGGUCCUGGGUGGUGGUGGUGAAUGUUGGCCAUUCAGGCAGAGGCUUACCCAUUCUUUCCUGGAUGGGCAUGAGAGGUGUGUGUUCCUGUAUAAGAGCUACAGCUACUGUUUCCCGGCCGGCCUGUGAACCGCAGCCAGAACAGCGGCCCCCAGCUGCUCUCCCAGCAGGUACCAUGUCUCUCCUCUCAGUUUGCAUGAUCCGCCCAAGCCGACUGCAGAAGCCGACCACUGCUCGCGGCUCACUACGCGAGGACAGAGGAAGCCUCGAGACAAAGCUACUGAGCGGUGUGCGAGGGGCCAACGCAAGGAGCUCAGAAUAAACUCUUGUGCGUCUCACCACCUGCUCUCCACCUCUAAAUGGGACCAGGUGGCCACACGGAGGCUCAGACAGGGUCAAGAGUGCCAUGCUGGCGGGGGUGGGGUGACGAUGGGAGUGCUGAGAGUGGACUCAAAUGAGGCAUUCCCCUUGGUGGGUGGGCGUCUAAUCGGUUGAGGGGCGCAAGCUUGGGCUUGGUGAUCAGUCUAGGGACUGACAUUAACACUACGCUUAGGCCUGGGAUUUAGGGUCUUGUCCUGCAAUCAAACAGCUUAAGUUCCUAAACUGGAAUUUAGCUACAAGGAAACUCCUAGCAACAAGCCAGCCCCUUAGUUACAGUGGGGGCACUAGCAAUGCAGGCCUCAGAUCUCCCAUGGGAACAUUUGGCAGGUCACGCUGAGGCCUGGAGGUCACGAUCAGAGACAGAAUGCUCAGCAGAGUACAUAUGUGCUGGAGACUGGAUCGUACCCAGGCCUGGCCAGGUGUGGUGAGGAGAAUGGGAUUCAGGCCUAGUGCAUCCGGGGGAGGGGGAAUCACGCAAGCCCAGGGGUGGGCGUGGCUAACAAGGAGCUGACUCUCGGGGGAGGGAGAGCUUGCCCGAAGGAGAUUGUCAGCUUUCUAGAUGGAGCCUAUGGGAAUUGUGCCAAGUUUAAGAACAUGGUUAACUUAAUAAAAUCUCAAUGGCAGACCAUACUU
rnacentral:lncRNA from 1 species